rnacentral:sRNA from 1 species
UGGUAGAUGCACCCUAAUGUUUCCCUGACGUUCAAUCCUGAUAAGGCAAUUCCUGAACCGAAUGCCUUUGGAGCAAAUGUCAGGGGAUUUUUUU